rnacentral:lncRNA from 1 species
GGAAGGAUGUGAUCAGAUUUGUGUUUUAGGAGACUCAGUCUGGAUGCACUGUAAAGAAUAUUGCUUUAUUGCUGAACACUUAGAUUAUUUCUGAUUUUUCAUUAAAAUAAUGUGAUAAUCAUAUAUUGCUUAAAGCUUGUUCUGAUUUUGAAUUAUAAGCAUCUAUUACUAUCAAAUCUAUUUGGUCUCUGAGUUUGAAAAGGAAGCAUUCUGAUAGCAAGAGCUUGGAUGGUAAGGGAUACCAGUACUUCCUUAAGCUGUAAUCCCAAAAGAGGACUGACUGAAAUAUUUUGCUACAUAUUGCCACCUUUCUUUCUAUAGACAUGUGUUUGAUUCAUAGAACCUUAGGACAACCCCUUUACUUCACAGAUGGGCAAACUAAAGUUCAGAAAGUAGAAGUACUAGCCAGGGUAGAAUCCAGGGCCCAGCAAUGAAUGAGAAUUUUAGUUGCUCUACAUCCUCAUCAGCACUUAGUAUUUCAUUUGACAGAGUCUGUCAUCCAAGCUCAGUGUCAUUAGUUAUUCAGAAAAUUCAGUGCAGUGUUGCAGUCCUAGAUCACUGCAGCGUCAAACUCCUGGGUUCAAACUAUUCUGCCUCAGCUUUGUGAGUAGCUGGGACCACAGGCGCGUACCGCCAUGCCCCACUAAUUGUUUUUUUGUUUGUUUGUUUGUUUUAUAGAGACAGGGUCUCGCUAUGUUGCCCAGGCUGGCCUCAAACUGCUGGGCCCAAACAAUCCUCCUGCCUUAGCCACCCAAAGUGCUGGGAUUACAGGCGUGAGCCACCGUGCCUGCCCCUACCUCUCACUUUCUCUGUCUCUAUACUGCCAUACUCCUCUUCUCUUCCCUUCUCUUCCCUUCUCUUCCCUUCUCUUCCCUUCUCUUCCCUUCUCUUCCCUUCUCUUCCCUUCUCUUCCCUUCUCUUCCAUUCUCUUCCCUUCUCUUCCCUUCUCUUCCCUUCCCUUCCCUUCCCUUCUCUUCCCUUCUCUUCCCCUCUCUUCCCUUCUCUUCCUUUCCUCUCCUCUCCUCUCCUCUCCCCUCCCCUCCCCUUUUUCUUUCAUCUUGCUCUGUCGCCACCCCCCUCCUCCCGCUUUUUCUUUCCUCUCGCUCUGUCACCCAGCUGGAGUUAGCUGGGAUUACAGACGCCUGCCACCACACCCGGUUAAUUUUUUGUAUUUUUAGUAGAGACAGAUUUUCACCAUGUUAGCCAGGCUUGUCUCCAACCUCUGACCUCAGGUGACCCACCUGCCUCAGCCUCCCAAAGUGCUGGGAUGACAGGCGUGAGCCACCACGCCCGGCCUCUUGGCUCUUUUUAAAUCAUUCAUUCCCAACUCCUUCAUUUGCUUUUUGCAGUCCUAUCUUCUGUUCUCAGCAAGGCUAGCUUUCUUUUUGAUGUUUCUGGAAUGACCUUCUCUUCUGAGAUGGUUAUUUUUAAAAUCCCUUCUUUCCUGAGCUCUGCCAGUGUCGUCUCCUCUGGCUGUCUCAGUGUCUUUUCUUUGAACUAUUACAUCUUUGCUUUGAUCUCUUGUUUUAAAAUUCAUUAAGCCCUUUGACUUCUUUGUUGUUCAUGAUUAUCAUCUGUUUCAUGUUAGCUUUUUUAUUUUUCUUUUUUUGGUGAUUGUCUUUCAUCUGCCAUUUGUUUUUCCUGUUCCCUGCCUCCCUCUCCUGC